rnacentral:rRNA from 1 species
UACAGAGGUCCCAAGCGUUGUUCGGAUUCACUGGGCGUAAAGGGUGCGUAGGUGGUGAGGUAAGUCGGAUGUGAAAGCUCCGAGCUCAACUCGGAAAUGGCAUUGGAAACUACCUUGCUCGAGGGUUUGAGGGGGGACUGGAAUUCUCGGUGUAGCAGUGAAAUGCGUAGAUAUCGAGAGGAACACCAGUGGCGAAGGCGAGUCCCUGGACGACUCCUGACACUGAGGCACGAAAGCUAGGGGAGCAAACAGG